UACGGAGGGCGCAAGCGUUGUUCGGACUCACUGGGCGUAAAGCGCGCGUAGGCGGCUUUGUCAGUCGGGGGUGAAAUCCCGGGGCUCAACCUCGGAACUGCCUUUGAUACUGCUAGUCUUGAGUCCGGGAGAGGUUGGUGGAAUUCCCAGUGUAGAGGUGAAAUCCGUAGAUAUUGGGAGGAACACCAGUGGCGAAGGCGGCCCACUGGACCGAUACUGACGCUGAGGUGCGAAAGCGUGGGGAGCAAACAGG
rnacentral:rRNA from 1 species